GUGAACGCUGGCGGUAGGCCUAACACAUGCAAGUCGAACGGCAGCACAGUAAGAGCUUGCUCUUACGGGUGGCGGGUGGCGGACGGGUGAGGAAUACAUCGGAAUCUACUUUUUCGUGGGGGAUAACGUAGGGAAACUUACGCUAAUACCGCAUACGACCUACGGGUGAAAGCAGGGGAUCUUCGGACCUUGCGCGAUUGAAUGAGCCGAUGUCGGAUUAGCUAGUUGGCGGGGUAAAGGCCCACCAAGGCGACGAUCCGUAGCUGGUCUGAGAGGAUGAUCAGCCACACUGGAACUGAGACACGGUCCAGACUCCUACGGGAGGCAGCAGUGGGGAAUAUUGGACAAUGGGCGCAAGCCUGAUCCAGCCAUACCGCGUGGGUGAAGAAGGCCUUCGGGUUGUAAAGCCCUUUUGUUGGGAAAGAAAAGCAGCAGGUUAAUACCCCGCUGUUCCGACGGUACCCAAAGAAUAAGCACCGGCUAACUUCGUG
rnacentral:rRNA from 1 species